AUUGAACGCUGUCGGCAGGCCUAACACAUGCAAGUCGAGCGAGCGGCGGACGGGUGAGUAAUGUAUGGGGACUGCCCGAUAGAGGGGGAUAACUCCUGGAACCGGUAGCUCAUACCGCAUACUAUCGGAUAACCCAUAUGGGAUUAGCUAGUCGGUGAGGUAAUGGCUCACCUAGGCGACGAUCCCUAGCUGGUCUGAGAGGAUGAGCAGCCACACUGGGACUGAGACACGGCCCAGACUCCUACGGAGGCAGCAGUGGGGAAUAUUGCACAAUGGGCGAAAGCCUGAUGCAGCCAUGCCGCGUGUAUGAAGAAGGCCCUAGGGUUGUAAAGUACUGUCAGUCGGGAGGCGUUACCGACAGAAGAAGCACCGGCUAACUCCGUGCCAGCAGCCGCGGUAAUUC
rnacentral:rRNA from 1 species